CACGGGGGGAGCAAGCGUUGUUCGGAAUCACUGGGCGUAAAGAGCGCGCAGGCGGUCGGAUAAGUCGAAUGUGAAAGCCCCCGGCUCAACUGGGGAGGGUCAUUCGAUACUGUUCGACUCGAAGGCAGGAGAGGGAAGUGGAAUUCCCGGUGUAGCAGUGAAAUGCGUAGAGAUCGGGAGGAACAUCUGUGGCGAAGGCGACUGCCUGGACCAGCACUGACACUGAGGCACGAAAGCGUGGGGAGCAAACAGG
rnacentral:rRNA from 1 species